CAGGUCUUGACAUCCCUCUGAAUACGGUAGAGAUAUCGUAGGCCUUCGGGACAGAGGAGACAGGUGGUGCAUGGUUGUCGUCAGCUCGUGUCGUGAGAUGUUGGGUUAAGUCCCGCAACGAGCGCAACCCUUGUCCUUAGUUGCCAGCAUUCAGUUGGGCACUCUAAGGAGACUGCCGGUGACAAACCGGAGGAAGGUGGGGAUGACGUCAAAUCAUCAUGCCCCUUAUGACCUGGGCUACACACGUGCUACAAUGGAUGGUACAAAGGGCUGCAAGACCGCGAGGUUUAGCCAAUCCCAUAAAACCAUUCUCAGUUCGGAUUGUAGGCUGCAACUCGCCUACAUGAAGCCGGAAUCGCUAGUAAUCGUGGAUCAGCAUGCCACGGUGAAUACGUUCCC
rnacentral:rRNA from 1 species